AUUGAACGCUGGCGGCAUGCUUUACACAUGCAAGUCGAACGGUAACAGGUUAAGCUGACGAGUGGCGAACGGGUGAGUAAUGCAUCGGAACGUGCCCGAUCGUGGGGGAUAACGCAGCGAAAGCUGCGCUAAUACCGCAUACGAUCUGAGGAUGAAAGCGGGGGACCGUAAGGCCUCGCGCGAUCGGAGCGGCCGAUGUCAGAUUAGGUAGUUGGUGGGGUAAAGGCCCACCAAGCCGACGAUCUGUAGCUGGUCUGAGAGGACGACCAGCCACAAUGGGACUGAGACACGGCCCAGACUCCUACGGGAGGCAGCAGUGGGGAAUUUUGGACAAUGGGCGAAAGCCUGAUCCAGCAAUGCCGCGUGCAGGAAGAAGGCCUUCGGGUUGUAAACUGCUUUUGUACGGAGCGAAAAGGUCCUUUCUAAUACAAGGGGCUCAUGGCGGUACCGUAAGAAUAAGCACCGGCUAACUACGUGCCAGCCGCCGCCGUAA
rnacentral:rRNA from 1 species